rnacentral:rRNA from 1 species
CUGCUGCCUUCCGUAGGAGUUUGGUCCGUGUCUCAGUACCGAUGUGGGGGGUUAACCUCUCAGUCCCCCUAUGUAUCGUUGUCUUGGUGAGCCGUUACCCCACCAACUAACUAAUACAACGCAUGCCCAUCCAUUACCACCGGAGUUUUCAACCCAAGAAGAUGCCUCCCUGGAUGUUAUGGGGUAUUAGUACCGAUUUCUCAGUGUUAUCCCCCUGUAAUGGGUAGGUUGCAUACGCGUUACGCACCCGUGCGCCGGUCGCCGACA